rnacentral:rRNA from 1 species
GAUGAACGCUGGCGGCGUGCCUAAUACAUGCAAGUCGAGCGAACGGACGAGAAGCUUGCUUCUCUGAUGUUAGCGGCGGACGGGUGAGUAACACGUGGAUAACCUACCUAUAAGACUGGGAUAACUUCGGGAAACCGUAGCUAAUACCGGAUAAUAUUUUGAACCGCAUGGUUCAAAAGUGAAAGACGGUCUUGCUGUCACUUAUAGAUGGAUCCGCGCUGCAUUAGCUAGUUGGUAAGGUAACGGCUUACCAAGGCAACGAUGCAUAGCCGACCUGAGAGGGUGAUCGGCCGCACUGGAACUGAAACACGGUCCAGACGCCUGCGGGAGGCAGCAGUAGGGAAUCUUCCGCAAUGGUCGAAAGCCUGACAGAGCAACGCCGCGUGAGUGAUGAAGGUCUUCGGUUCGUAAAACUCUGUUAUUAGUGAAGAACAUAUGUGUAAGUAACUGUACACAUCUUGACGGUACCUAGUCAGAAAGCCACGGCUAACUACGUG